rnacentral:rRNA from 1 species
CUAGGAUUAGAUACCCUAUUAUUUGAAAUGUAAAAACUAAAGUAUUAAUAGGUAUGGACUUUAAACUUAAAAAAUUUGGCGGUAUUUUAGUCUAUUCAGAGGAACCUGUUUUGUAAUCGAUAAUCCACGUUGAACCUUACUUUAAUUUAUAAAUUAGUUUAUAUACCGUCGUUAUAAAAAAUUUUAUAAGAAUAAUAAUUUUUAAAAUUAUAUAUCAGAUCAAGGUGUAGCUUAUAUUAAAGAAAAUAAUGGGUUACAAUAAAUUUAUUUAUAUGAAUAUAAAAAUGAAAAAUUUAUUGAAAGAGGAUUUGAAAGUAAAAUUAUAAAGAUUAAUAAUUUGAUUUUAGCUCUAAAAUAUGUACAUAUCGCCCGUCACUCUUAUUAUUAAAGUAAGA